CAGGAUGAACGCUAGCUACAGGCUUAACACAUGCAAGUCGAGGGGCAGCAUAACGAAAGCUGCUUUGUGAUGGCGACCGGCGCACGGGUGAGUAACGCGUAUCCAACCUUCCCUAUACUAGAGGAUAGCCCGGCGAAAGUCGGAUUAAUACUCUAUGUUCUUCGUAGAAGACAUCUGAAAUGAAGCAAAGGUUUACCGGUAUAGGAUGGGGAUGCGUCUGAUUAGGUUGUUGGCGGGGUAACGGCCCACCAAGCCCACGAUCAGUAGGGGUUCUGAGAGGAAGGUCCCCCACAUUGGAACUGAGACACGGUCCAAACUCCUACGGGAGGCAGCAGUGAGGAAUAUUGGUCAAUGGACGAGAGUCUGAACCAGCCAAGUAGCGUGCAGGAUGACGGCCCUAUGGGUUGUAAACUGCUUUUAUACAGGGAUAAAGUGACGUACGUGUACGUUUUUGUAGGUACUGUAUGAAUAAGGACCGGCUAAUUCCGUGCCAGCCGCUGC
rnacentral:rRNA from 1 species